GGCUGUUGUUUUUCAAGGCAACGAUGGAGGCAAAGCGCCAGCAGGCCCUAGUCCCAGUGAUUUGCUUAGAAAAGCUCUGGGACAAGAGAGAUGGUAUUUUCUAGUCUGCACUGGUGACAUCUGUAGCAAGCCAGUUGGAGAAAACCAGCAUUUGGAUAACUGGAUUCCAGGUACUGGUUCCCUUUGUAAGUCCAUGUGUUUUACUUUAUGCAUUUACAACAUCAUUCUGAGACUGUUUUCAAAAAAAGGAAGUCGAGACUCCUGCUUUAGAACAGGUAACAAAACACACGUUUAGAAUUGUAACUCCCUUGAUGCAAUUCGGCUGGUGAUCCAGGGACUUCAUUAGGGCAGCUCAGCAUUUCUUCAAUGUCUGCCUAGACGCCUAUUCCAGCG
rnacentral:lncRNA from 1 species